GAUGAACGCUAGCGAUAGGCUUAACACAUGCAAGUCGAGGGGCAGCAUGGUCUUAGCUUGCUAAGACUGAUGGCGACCGGCGCACGGGUGCGUAACGCGUAUGCAACUUGCCUCACAGAGGGGGAUAACCCGUCGAAAGACGGACUAAUACCGCGUACACUCCAUCUUGGGCAUCCAAGGUAGAGGAAAUGAAAUUCGCUGUGAGAUAGGCAUGCGUCCCAUUAGCUAGUUGGUGAGGUAACGGCUCACCAAGGCGACGAUGGGUAGGGGAACUGAGAGGUUGAACCCCCACACUGGUACUGAGACACGGACCAGACUACUACGGGAGGCAGCAGUGAGGAAUAUUGGUCAAUGGGCGAGAGCCUGAACCAGCCAAGUCGCGUGAUGGAUGACUGUCUUAUGGAUUGUAAACUUCUUUUAUACGGGAAUAACAAAAGUCACGUGUGACUCCCUGCAUGUACCGUAUGAAUAAGCAUCGGCUAACUCCGUG
rnacentral:rRNA from 1 species